AGGGCACGGGGAGUCAGAAAGUCAUGUGUUAGUGGAAGGCCUCUGGAAGGGGUCGCCGUAGAGGGUGAGAGCCCCGUACACGAAAACGCUGCAUCUCCCGGACGUGUUUCCCAAGUAGCACCGAGCCCGUGAAAUUCGGUGUGAAUCUGGCGGGACCACCCGCUAAGCCUAAAUACUCCUUGGUG
rnacentral:rRNA from 1 species